rnacentral:rRNA from 1 species
GGGUCAGUAGGUUGGUCGUGCCACCGGUACGUACUGGUCUCACUGAUUCCUCCUUCCUGAAGAACCGUAAUGCCAUUAAUUUGGUGUUGCGGGGAAACAGGACUGUUACUUUGAAAAAAUUAGAGUGUUUAAAGCAAGCUAACGCUUGAAUACAUUAGCAUGGAAUAAUGAAAUAGGACGAUCGAUCCUAUUUUGUUGGUUUCUAGGAUUGACGUU